rnacentral:rRNA from 1 species
UACGAAGGGGGCUAGCGUUGCUCGGAAUGACUGGGCGUAAGGGGCGCGUAGGCGGUUUGGUUAGUUAGGCGUGAAAUUCCUGGGCUUAACCUGGGGACUGCGCUUAAGACAGCCAGACUUGAGUGUGAAAGAGGGUCGUGGAAUUCCCAGUGUAGAGGUGAAAUUCGUAGAUAUUGGGAAGAACACCGGUGGCGAAGGCGGCGACCUGGUUCAUUACUGACGCUGAGGCGCGAAAGCGUGGGGAGCAAACAGG